rnacentral:rRNA from 1 species
AUUGAACGCUGGCGGCAGGCCUAACACAUGCAAGUCGAGCGGAGCGGCGGACGGGUGAGUAAUGCCUAGGAAUCUGCCUGGCAGUGGGGGAUAACGUCCGGAAACGGGCGCUAAUACCGCAUACUAUCAGAUGAGCCUAGGUCGGAUUAGCUAGAUGGUGGGGUAAAGGCCUACGAAGGCGACGAUCCGUACCUGGUCUGAGAGGAUGAUCAGUCACACUGGAACUGAGACACGGUCCAGACUACUACGAGAGGCAGCAGUGGGGAAUAAUGGACAAUGGGCGAAAGCCUGAUCCAGCCAUGCCGCGUGUGUGAAGAAGGUCUUCGGAUUGUAAAGCACUUUAAGUUGGGAGGCGUUACCAACAGAAUAAGCACCGGCUAACUUCGUGCCAGCAGCCGCGGUAAUUC